AAGUUUUGGUGACUGUGCUCCUCCAAGCCAGCUACCUAGGUUUAAUGAGUUGGUAGCUCCAUAAACCUUAAGAAAACCACCGUUGGUAGCGGUGGUUUUUCUUU
rnacentral:antisense_RNA from 1 species